rnacentral:rRNA from 1 species
UAAGCAUAUCACUAAGCGGAGGAAAAGAAACUAACUAGGAUUCCCCCAGUAACUGCGAGUGAAGAGGGAAGAGCUCAUCAUUGGAAUCUGGCAGCGUUGCGCUGUCCGAGUUGUAGAUGAGAAGAGUAGGACAUCUGGACUGCAUGGUGUCCAAGUACAAUAGGCCGUCAGUGGGACAUCAUAGAGGGUGACAAUCCCGUCCUUGACACCAAUGUACGAGUCCUUUACGAUGCCUAUCUCGGAGAGUCGAGCAGUUUGGGAUUUGCUGCUUAAACACGGGAGGUAGAUUCCUUCCAAAGCUAAAUACAGGCAAGAGACCGAUAGUGAACAAGUACCGCAAGGGAAAGAUGAAAUAGAACUCUGUGAAGGGAGUCAAAAAGACGUGAAAUUGUUGCGAGAGAAGCGAUUCAAGUCAGCGUAGCUGGGCCCAUCAAGCCUCGCGCUUUGGACCAGCUUUGCCAGCGGUCUUGUCCCUAGAGACUUGACUAAGGUGCCCUGCCCGGUCUAACGGACAGACCUCCCCUCUGGGGAGGCCAGUGGCAUGGCUGGUGGAAUGGCUUGCAAUCGACCCGUCUUGAAACACGGACCAAGGAGUCUAACAUGUACGCGAGUAUAAGGGUGGCAAACCCGUAUGCGCAAAGAAAGUGAUAGCCUAUGGCUGAGAAUGACCUGACGACCUGACAAGAAAUAUCAUGUCCCUCGUACGGUCAUUGCCCAAGUCCCAUGGUCAGAUCCCAUGGACAUGGAGUUGGAGCGUGCAUGCUAGGACCCGAAAGAUGGUGAACUAUGCCUGGACAAAGCGAAGCCAAAGGAAACUCUGGUGGAGGCUUGUAGCGAUUCUGACGUGCAAAUCGAUCGUCUGAUCUGGGUAUAGGGGCGAAAGACUAAUCGAGCC